AGUGAACGCUGGCGGUAGGCCUAACACAUGCAAGUCGAACGGCAGCACAGUAAGAGCUUGCUCUUACGGGUGGCGAGUGGCGGACGGGUGAGGAAUACAUCGGAAUCUACUUUUUCGUGGGGGAUAACGUAGGGAAACUUACGCUAAUACCGCAUACGACCUACGGGUGGAAGCAGGGGAUCUUCGGACCUUGCGCGAUUGAAUGAGCCGAUGUCGGAUUAGCUAGUUGGCGGGGUAAAGGCCCACCAAGGCGACGAUCCGUAGCUGGUCUGAGAGGAUGAUCAGCCACACUGGAACUGAGACACGGUCCAGACUCCUACGGGAGGCAGCAGUGGGGAAUAUUGGACAAUGGGCGCAAGCCUGAUCCAGCCAUACCGCGUGGGUGAAGAAGGCCUUCGGGUUGUAAAGCCCUUUUGUUGGGAAAGAAAAGCAGCAGGUUAAUACCCCGCUGUUCUGACGGUACCCAAAGAAUAAGUACCGGCUAACUUCGUG
rnacentral:rRNA from 1 species